CGACAACCCGAGAGAGUCGGGCGUUCCCCGUUCGGGGGGACAGGGUGACGAGGUGGUGCAUGGUUGUCGUCAGCUCGUGUCGUGAGAUGUUGGGUUAAGUCCGCAACGAGCGCAACCCUCGACCUUAGUUGCCAGCAUUCAGUUGGGGCACUUCUAAAGGUGACUGCCGGCUAAAAGUCGGAGGAAGGUGGGGAUGACGUCAAAUCAUCAUGCCCCUUAUGACCUGGGCUACACACGUGCUACAAUGGGCGGUACAAAGGGUCGCGAACCCGCGAGGGGGAGCCAAUCCCAAAAAGCCGACUCUCAGUUCGGAUUGCAGGCUGCAACUCGCCUGCAUGAAGCCGGAAUCGCUAGUAAUCGCGGGUCAGCAUACUGCGGUGAAUACGUUCCCGGGCCUU
rnacentral:rRNA from 1 species